CCUACGGGAGGCAGCAGUAGGGAAUAUUGCUCAAUGGGGGAAACCCUGAUGCAGCAACGCCGCGUGAAGGAUGAAGGUCUUCGGAUUGUAAACCCCUUUUGUCAGAGACGAUAAUGACGGUAUCUAACGAAUAAGCACCGGCUAACUCCGUGCCAGCAGCCGCGGUAAUACGGAGGGUGCAAGCGUUACUCGGAAUCACUGGGCGUAAAGGGCGCGUAGGCGGGAGAGCAAGUCAGAUGUGAAAUCCUAUGGCUGAACCAUAGAACUGCAUUUGAAACUGUUAUUCUAGAGUAUGGGAGAGGUAGGGGGAAUUCUUGGUGUAGGGGUAAAAUGCGUAGAGAUUAAGAGGAAUACU
rnacentral:rRNA from 1 species